UACGGAGGGUGCAAGCGUUAUCCGGAUUCACUGGGUUUAAAGGGUGUGUAGGCGGGUGUUUAAGUCAGUGGUGAAAUCUCCAGGCUCAACCUGGAAACUGCCAUUGAUACUAUUCAUCUUGAAUUCUGUUGAGGUGGGCGGAAUAUAUCAUGUAGCGGUGAAAUGCUUAGAUAUGAUAUAGAACACCGAUUGCGAAGGCAGCUCACUAAACAGCGAUUGACGCUGAGGCACGAAAGCGUGGGGAAUCAAACAGGG
rnacentral:rRNA from 1 species